rnacentral:rRNA from 1 species
UACGUAGGGUGCAAGCGUUGUCCGGAAUUAUUGGGCGUAAAGAGCUCGUAGGCGGUCUGUCGCGUCUGCUGUGAAAUCCCGAGGCUCAACCUCGGGCCUGCAGUGGGUACGGGCAGACUAGAGUGCGGUAGGGGAGAUUGGAAUUCCUGGUGUAGCGGUGGAAUGCGCAGAUAUCGAGGAGGAACACCGAUGGCGAAGGCAGAUCUCUGGGCCGUAACUGACGCUGAGGAGCGAAAGCGUGGGGAGCGAACAGG